rnacentral:misc_RNA from 1 species
UAUCACUGCCGCUCCGAGAAAAUGGUUGCACAAUUUUCAAGAUAUUAGGAUAAUUUGAAUUAAGCUCAUAAAUCAGACAGAGGGCCCAAGUACUACUAUUACUAUGUUAAUGCUUUGCUCUCAGCUGGAGGCUCAGACUUGUAUCUGGAGCACUGGAAUUCCUGGAAACCUGCCAUGCCUGCAUGUCGAAGAUGCUUAUCCACUCUGAGAAUCAUCUGAUCCCCUAAAGCCUCAUUCAUUGAGCAGAAAUAAA